AUGAAAAAGUGUAGCACCUGCCGGUCAGGCAUGACUUGACAUCACCACCGAAGCUCCGUGCAAGACGAAGCCGCUCCACCUCCUGCCUCUGACAUCCAGCGCUGCUCCGCAAACGAUGCUCCCAAAAGAGAGACGACACCGCAGUGCCGCCAUCGUCCGAUCUGGAACACCAGAUCCUAGGGUUUCCCCUGGAGCAACCCCUUACUCCCCCAGACCAUCUCAUCUCCGUCCCUCCCCUGCCUCAUUCAAACAAACAAGAGGAAUAAAUUUAUAUACACACGAUUUUGUUUCAAGUUUCUGAGCAUGUAUUAGUCUAUUUUGGAUCCAAUGUAACACAGGGCACUUUGCUAGUUGUUUUCUUAACAGCCAGUUCAUCACAUACUAGAUUUAUGUUGCUUCAUGAUUCACGGAGUGAAGAUGGUAUAAAAAGCUUCUUUCAGGAAGUUCACGAACUUUACAUCAAGAUAUUCCUUAAUCCACUCUACUUGCCUGGUUCUCGCAUCACAUCCUCUCAUUUCAAUACCAAGGUCAGGGCUCUUGCAAGGAAAUACCUGUAGCAUGCACUCAGGUGGAAGAUCCUGAAAAUGAGCUAGUGCCAUGAUGCGCCAAAAUGGUGCUCAACGGAGAGCUUUCUUUGCUUAUUUCUGAGGCGUUUCCCCUGCCAACGUUUCAGCUUUUAUGUUUAUCUCCUUACCCCUGUCCUGUGCUGUUGUCUUGAGAUACUCGAGUGUCGUAAGCUGAGCCCUGUUAAAUUUACCUUGCACAUCGAUACUGCACCAUUAUAUCUGUAGCCAUGGCAGUGAAAGGAGAUGGUGCCGCAGUAUCAUCACGAGCUGUAUGAAGCAUGGAAGCAUAUGCAGCGGCAUUAAUAUUACAGGACACUGCAAUGCAACUGACCAGCUGGUAGUGGUACUGUAGCUCCACUAAAAGGACCCCUGCAGAAUCUCCGGAGAAAGGUCCUCGCACAUCAGAUGAAUUCUAUUCAUAAAUGAAUCUGCAAUUAUCACUUGGGAUUGUACUACCAAGGAAGAGCUGUCAUUUGGCUGGAACCUUUUUUUUGUUUUUGUUUUGUGAAGACAAGACUUUGAUUGAUGAUUAUUUAACACAAACGGGUGUUAUGUGCCAUGAAAUUUACCA